UCCCUGACAGUCCAGAGGUUAAGACUCUGCAGUUCCACUGCAGGAGGCAUGGGUUCAAUCCCCGGUUGGGGAA
rnacentral:tRNA from 1 species